UGGUUGCUUGACCCGUACUUGAACUCCAAUAUUCCUUCAAAACAUUAAUCAUCAAGCUGCCAAAAUGAUUCACACAUUAUUUCUCCAAAGAUUUAACCAACCAUAAGCUUAAAACACAAAAAUCCUUACCUUAGCUUGCUUGAAUUACAAAACCAAGCUUUUCUUCCUUUCUUUCUUUUUCUUUCUUCUUCUCCUAGGGUUUAGAUGUGCUAGAAAUUGGGGUUAGAAGCUGCAGGUUUAGUGCCCAAGAAGUUUGGAGAAGAAAGAAGUAAGAAAAGAAAGGAAAUGAAAUGAAAAUAAACAAGGAAAAUCACAUGAAAAAAUUUGAUUUUCA
rnacentral:lncRNA from 1 species